GACGAACGCUGGCGGCGUGCUUAACACAUGCAAGUCGAACGGAAAGGCCCUGCUUUUGUGGGGUGCUCGAGUGGCGAACGGGUGAGUAACACGUGAGUAACCUGCCCUUGACUUUGGGAUAACCUCAGGAAACUGGGGCUAAUACCGGAUAGGAGCUCCUGCUGCAUGGUGGGGGUUGGAAAGUUUCGGCGGUUGGGGAUGGACUCGCGGCUUAUCAGCUUGUUGGUGGGGUAGUGGCUUACCAAGGCUUUGACGGGUAGCCGGCCUGAGAGGGUGACCGGCCACAUUGGGACUGAGAUACGGCCCAGACUCCUACGGGAGGCAGCAGUGGGGAAUAUUGCACAAUGGGCGGAAGCCUGAUGCAGCAACGCCGCGUGCGGGAUGACGGCCUUCGGGUUGUAAACCGCUUUCGCCUGUGACGAAGCGUGAGUGACGGUAAUGGGUAAAGAAGCACCGGCUAACUACGUGCCAGCAGCCGCGGUGAUACGUAGGGUGCGAGCGUUGUCCGGAUUUAUUGGGCGUAAAGGGCUCGUAGGUGGUUGAUCGCGUCGGAAGUGUAAUCUUGGGGCUUAGCCCUGAGCGUGCUUUCGAUACGGGUUGACUUGAGGAAGGUAGGGGAGAAUGGAAUUCCUGGUGGAGCGGUGGAAUGCGCAGAUAUCAGGAGGAACACCAGUGGCGAAGGCGGUUCUCUGGGCCUUUCCUGACGCUGAGGAGCGAAAGCGUGGGGAGCGAACAGGCUUAGAUACCCUGGUAGUCCACGCUGUAAACGGUGGGUACUAGGUGUGGGGUCCAUUCCACGGGUUCCGUGCCGUAGCUAACGCUUUAAGUACCCCGCCUGGGGAGUACGGCCGCAAGGCUAAAACUCAAAGGAAUUGACGGGGCCCCGCACAAGCGGCGGAGCAUGCGGAUUAAUUCGAUGCAACGCGUAGAACCUUACCUGGGUUUGACAUGGAUCGGGAGUGCUCAGAGAUGGGUGUGCCUCUUUUGGGGUCGGUUCACAGGUGGUGCAUGCCUGUCGUCAGCUCGUGUCGUGAGAUGUUGGGUUAAGUCCCGCAACGAGCGCAACCCUUGUUCACUGUUGCCAGCACGUUAUGGUGGGGACUCAGUGGAGACCGCCGGGGUCAACUCGGAGGAAGGUGGGGAUGACGUCAAGUCCUCGUGCCCCUUAUGUCCAGGGCUUCACGCAUGCUACAAUGGCUGGUACAGAGAGUGGCGAGCCUGUGAGGGUGAGCGAAUCUCGGAAAGCCGGUCUCAGUUCGGAUUGGGGUCUGCAACUCGACCUCAUGGAGUCGGAGUCGCUAGUAAUCGCAGAUCAGCAACGCUGCGGUGAAUACGUUCCCGGGGCU
rnacentral:rRNA from 1 species